AUGAACAUUUAUUUUAUAUCAUGUGAACUAUUUUUGCAUAUUUACAUGUCAAUGCCUUUGCCUCUGCAGAAGGUUGUGAAUCGUUGCCGAACACUAGCCGCUUUACUCUCUUGCCAUGGAGGUUCAUCAACGGAUGUGCGUGCACGUGCUCAGUAUAGAAUGGAUGUUCUUUCUUCCGCUCGUCCAUCUUCGAGCCAAGUAUGUGCUUCUUCCGCUCGUCCUUCUUCCAGCCAAGCAUGGAUUGAUGAACAGGAAGAUGAAGAGGAGGAGACAGACUUCGAUGCGGAUCCGGACUAUGUGGAGCUUGGGGCUUCGCAGAUGGAAGAUGCUCCACAGCCAACUCAACCUUCUCAGCCUUCUCAAGAAGCACGCCGAGUUAGCUCAAGGAACAUCCGACGUCCUGGAUGGCAGAACACUCCAGAGGGCUACGUCAACAGGGGGAAGAUGGCUGCGAAAAGAGGCAAGAAGUGA
rnacentral:rRNA from 1 species